AUUGAACGCUGGCGGCAUGCCUUACACAUGCAAGUCGAACGGCAGCGGACCUUCGGGUGCCGGCGAGUGGCGAACGGGUGAGUAAUAUAUCGGAACGUACCUUUCAGUGGGGGAUAACGUAGCGAAAGUUACGCUAAUACCGCAUAUUCUGUGAGCAGGAAAGCAGGGGAUCGCAAGACCUUGCGCUGAUUGAGCGGCCGAUAUCAGAUUAGCUAGUUGGUGAGGUAAAGGCUCACCAAGGCGACGAUCUGUAGCGGGUCUGAGAGGAUGAUCCGCCACACUGGAACUGAGACACGGUCCAGACUCCUACGGGAGGCAGCAGUGGGGAAUAUUGCGCAAUGGGCGAAAGCCUGACGCAGCCACGCCGCGUGAGCGAUGAAGGCCUCGGUCGUAAAGCUCUGUGGGAGGAGAAGAAUAAAGACCUGUGAGAGCAGGCCUUGACGGUAGUCUCCUUAGCAAG
rnacentral:rRNA from 1 species